AAAAGGUCUUCCAUUCAGCUAGGCAUUCAUUAUCCUUCUUUUAUGAGGAAGAAGAUUGAAAGAUGGGAAGAAAGCAAGGUUUGGGAUGAAGGAGAGCAGAACGAUUUUGGGAGGGAAGGUGAUGAUUAAAGUAAGGCUGAGCCUCUUCUUGGGGACUCUUGGAAAUGUGGAAUGCUUCAGUGUUUGCACAUGAAAACCUACUCUGAGAAAUAGCCACUGGUGUAGAGUCAUGCACUGCUCUCGUGUGAAACCAUGCAGGGGUGCAGAUUAGAGUAUUUCAUUAUCCUACUUAGAUGUGCAUUAUCCAUCUGACCAUCUUAUCUCAAUAAAUCUACUGAUGAAAGUAUAGCCUGGGGACCUGUGUGAACUCAGGUUGGCAUCUGGCUUUGCCAGUGUUGCCAGUAUAGUGUGAAUUUGGGCAGCAGACUUACCUGCUGGCUGUUCAUGAGAGAGAUCAGUAAUUUCCUGUCUGCCAAGGAUACUGGGAGAUUUCAUUCAUUAGUGUUUGUAAAGCAGUCAGAUUCCAGAAAGCAACAGGAAAGAGAUCAGUGCUAAAGCCAAAGAAUCCUUCUGUGGCACCAAGAUACAGAAAUACCUGAAAGAGGUUAUCAGUGAGAGAGAGAGCUGUUUUUUGCACAGCACUACUGUAAUCUGCUUUCUCACAUAGAAUCGCGAAGGCAUCACUUCUGCCUCUUCAUGAGAGGAAUAGGCACUUGGUAACCCUAUUGGGUGAGAGUUUGUGUUCAUUUUCAAAAUGCCAUUGCUUUCAGCCAGCCAAGAAAUCCAGUGCUGAAUCUUUCUGAGUUCUGUGUCACAGGUUUUGCAGGAAUAGUUCAAGAAGGCCAUGGCUGGUUAGAGUUCUCUCCAACUUGUUCUGCAAACCUGGAUAUGGCCGCUUCCCAGCUGGACAGAUGGUAAAGCAGGAGAAGGAGGAGGAACCACUGAAGGAAACAACAGUUAAUUCAUCUUCACUUUCUCUUUGGACUUCCAGGGAGGGUUUUCUCUAUAGAUGUUCAUCUACAACCCAGUCAGCUGGUGCUCUCUGCUUUGCUUCAUGCUGCG
rnacentral:lncRNA from 1 species